rnacentral:lncRNA from 1 species
UCAGUGUUAAAUACAUAUUUUUGUUUCUUUGCCCAGUUACCAGACACAACAAUCACUGGAACCGGAUGAUCCAUCAACGAAAAUGAAGAACAGAAGUGAAAAUGCAGAAAAGAAGUGAAGAACAGAAGUGAAAAUGAAGAACAGAAGUGAAAAUGAAAAACAGAAGUGAAGUGAAGAACAUAAAAUGAAGAACAGAGUGUAAGAAAAAACACGAGCUAAUGCGGGACCUUUCGUA